rnacentral:lncRNA from 10 species
CGGAGUCGGGGGUCUAGAAACACCUGAGAAGCCUGAAUGCAUGCAGGCUUGCAAAGCUAAGGCGUGCUGGCGAGGAAGGAGAGCGUAGAGGGGGUGACAGGCCCCACCGGCUUCCCGGAUGGAGCCCGCGCCCCGGUCGACAUUCUCGGACUGCAGAGAGACAGGGACACUGGUAAAGAUGAGAGAAUUGGGCCAGAUUAUCUACCUGAUUGAUGAUUAUAAAAAUACCUUCUUUGGGGCUGGGCGUGGUGUCUCACACCUGUAAUCCCAGCACUUCGGGAGGCCGAGGCGCAUGGAUCAUGAGGUCAGGAGUUCGAGAUCAGCCUGACUAACUCCGUCUCUACUAAAAAUACAAAAAUCAGCCGGGCGUGGUGACAUGCGCCUGUAAUCUCAGCUACUCAGGAGGUUGAGGCAGGAGAAUUGCUUGAACCUGGGAGGCGGCGGUUGCAGUGAGCCAAGAUCAUGCCACUGCACUCCAGCCUGGGCAACAGAGCAAGCCUCUGCCUCAAAAAAACAAAACAAAACAAAACCUUCUUUGUUUUCUAUGAAAUAGUAAAACUGGCUUUAUUGAUUAUAUUUUAGUUGAGAAAAUAGCAGCCCUACCUGGUAUUUUGUUUAAUUCCAUUUAUGUGAAAUACGUAUUCACAUAUUGUUUAACUCCAUUUAUGUGAAAUAUCCAGAAUAGGUAAAUCCAUAUAGAUAGAACACAGAUUGCUUGUUUUCAGGGACUGGGGAGAGGGGGCGAAUAGGGAGUAACUGCUUAAUAGGUACUAGGUCUCCUCGGCCAGGCGCGGUGGCUCACGCCUGUAAUCCCCGCACUUUGGGAGGCCAAGGCGAGCGGAUUACGACGUCAGGAGAUCGUAGACCAUCCUGGCCAACAUGGUGAACAUCCGGCUUUACUAAAAAUAUAAAAAUUAGCGGGGCAUGGUGGCGUUUGUCUGUAAUCUCAGCUACUCGGGAGGCUAAGGCAGAAUUUCUGGAACCGGGGAGGCGCCACUGCACUCCAGCCUGGGUGACAGAGUGAGACUCCGUCUAAAAAAAAAAAGUAGAUACUAAGUCUCCUUUUGAGGUGAUGAAACUAUUUUGGAACCAGGUAGACAUGGUGGUUGCAGAACAUUGUGAAUGUUCUGAAGACAGCUGAGCCGGUCCGGCGCGGUGGCUCAUGCCUGUAAUUCCUGUACUUUGGGAGGCCUGGGCAACAUGGCAAGACCCCGUCUCCACAAAAGUACAUAAAAUUAGCCGGGCAUGGUGGCGCGCGCCUGCAGUCCCAGCUACUCGGGAGGCUGAAGUGAGAGGAUCGCUUGAGCUUGGGAGGUCGAGGCUGCAGUGAGCUGUGAUUGCACCACUCGACUCCAGCCUGGACGACAGAGAUCCUGUCUCAAAAAUAAAUAAAUAAAUAAACCCACUGAA